UACGGAGGAUGCAAGCGUUAUCCGGAAUUAUUGGGCGUAAAGCGUCCGUAGGUGGCUAUUCAAGUCUGCUGUUAAAGCGCAGGGCUUAACCCUGUAAAGGCGGUGGAAACUGGAGAGCUAGAGUGUGGUAGGGGUAGAGGGAAUUCCCGGUGUAGCGGUGAAAUGCGUAGAGAUCGGGAAGAACAUCGGUGGCGAAAGCGCUUUACUGGACCGCAACUGACACUCAGGGACGAAAGCUAGGGGAGCGAAUGGG
rnacentral:rRNA from 1 species